AGUAGAGUCGGGGUUUCGCCAUGUUGGUCAGGCUGGUCACGAACUCCUGACCUCAAGUGAUCCGUCCGCCUCGGCCUCCCCAAGUUCGGGGGUUACAGGCGUGCGCCCCCGCGCCUGACCCUGGACGUCUUGGAGGUCUCUCCUCACCCAGGAGGAGCAGCGACAGGCCCCGCCCACGCCAACCGCCUCGGCCUCCGUUGCCCGUUUCCAUGGUGACGGGCGCCAGGCUGGGGCUGCCCCGCCACCGAGCCGGGGUGCAGCGGCCGCGGGAAGGUUCCUGGCGAUGGCGAGAUGAGCGUCGCGGGGGUGGUGGCUGGGACGCGCCCCCCCAGCUCGCCGACCCCGGGAUCCCGGCCCCGGCGCCAGCGCCCCUCCGUGGGCGUCCAGUCCCUGAGGCCGCAGAGCCCGCAGCUCAGGCUGAGCGACCCGCAGAAACGGAACCUGGACCUGGAGAAGAGCCUGCAGUUCCUGCAGCAGCAGCACUCGGAGAUGCUGGCCAAGCUCCACGAGGAGAUCGAGCACCUGAAGCGGGAGAACAAGGAUCUCCAUUACAAGCUCAUAAUGAAUCAGACAUCACAGAAGAAAGAUGGCCCCUCAGGAAACCACCUUUCCGGGGCCUCUGCUCCCUCGGGUGCUUUCUGGGUCUGCGUCCGCGGAGUGUGGGUAGAGCCGGGAGGACACAGCCCUGCCAGGCUGAAGGAGGGCCCCUCACGGACACACAGGCCAGGAGGCAAGCAUGGGCGUCUUGCGGGCGGCAGCACCGACACUGCGCUCUCCUGCAGACAGCCUGUCCACGUCAAGCUUCCAGUCUGUCAAGUCCAUCUCUAACUCAGGCAAGGCCAGGCCCCAGCCCAGCUCCUUCAACAAGCAAGAUUCGAAAGCUGACGCCCCCCAGAAGGCAGACCUGGAAGAGGAGCCCCUACUUCACAACAGCAAGCUAGACAAGGUUCCUGGGGUACAAGGGCAGGCCAGAAAGGAGAAAGCAGAGGCCUCUAACGCAGGAGCAGCCUGUAUGGGGAGCAGCCGGCACCAGGGCAGGCAGAUGAUGGGGGCGGGGGCACACCCCCCCAAUGACCCUGCCCCUUCACCUGCGAAAACCCACCACACUGAAGCAGUGCGAAGUGCUCAUCCGCGAGCUGUGGAACACCAACCUCCUGCAGACCCAGGAGCUGCAGCACCUCAGGUCCCUCCUGGAAGGCAGCCAGAGGCCCCAGGUGGCCCCAGAGGAGGCUGGGUCUAGCUUUCCCAGGGACCAGGAAGUCAUGCAUUUUCCUAAGGUCUCCACGAAGGGCCUCUCGAAGACAUGCCUGCUUCUGAGCCCACCUGUGGCGCAGCGUGCCAUCCUACCUGCCCUGAAGCAGACCCCGAAGAACAACUUUGCCGAGAGGCAGAAGAGGCUGCAAGCAAUGCAGAAACGGCGCCUGCACCGCUCAGUGCUUUGAGCCACCCACAUCUGGUCAGUGGCAGGCCCACCAACCUGCAGCUGGAGACUGGUUCUCUAUAGCAUUUCCUGAUACUUCCACUACUUUUAGGCCUGGCUAAAUUCCAAAAUAGAUGACACUUAAAAUAGAUAAAGUACUUGAUCUCUAAACUAACAAACCAUUUAUUUUCUGUUAUUUUGCUAUUUAGCAUUUACAUAAAAAGCACAUGAUGAAGUAGGUAUCGCUUUAUCUGUUGAAACUGAAAAUAAAGCUUGUUUAUUUCCAAGCUGUGUGCCUGGUUCCUCACUGGCUAUCAGGCGUCGUGUCCCUUCCCAUUCCCAGCCCCUGGCUCCUAGCCCAGCCCCUGCUGUCUGCAGAGACCUGCCUGGGCAGCCCAGUCUUGCUCAUCCCGGGACCUGCCAGCGGCCCUGGGAGAGGCGCAUUGGCAGAGCCGGGCACAUCCUCCCUGGAGGCAGGAGGGCUUUUCUGGUGCCCUGGCUGGGCUGGAGCUGCGUUCCAAACACAUGAUCACUCUGGGUCUCCUGCCCAGACUACACGCUCCUGGGGGCAAGAGGCUGUCCUCUCCUGCCCUGACACAGCACCGCAAAGAGGUCCAGCCAGGCUGGCCCUCCUCCUUGGCCGUCUCCAGAAUGGUGUGGACAUGCCCGCACCACCCCUUCCACCACAGCACAGCCAUGCCCGCCGUCGGGGGUGGGGUGGCCAGCUUAGUGCCCA